rnacentral:rRNA from 1 species
UACGUAGGGGGCAAGCGUUGUCCGGAUUUAUUGGGCGUAAAGAGCGUGUAGGCGGCCAGAUAGGUCCGUUGUGAAAACUGGAGGCUUAACCUCCAGCUGUCGAUGGAAACCAUCUGGCUAGAGUCCGGAAGAGGAGAGUGGAAUUCCUGGUGUAGCGGUGAAAUGCGCAGAUAUCAGGAAGAACACCAGUGGCGAAGGCGGCGACCUGGGCAGAUACUGACGCUGAGGUGCGAAAGCGUGGGGAGCAAACAGG